CCUACGGGUGGCAGCAGUGAGGAAUAUUGGUCAAUGGUCGUGAGCCUGAACCAGCCAAGUAGCGUGAAGGAUGACUGCCCUACGGGUUGUAAACUUCUUUUAUGAGGGAAUAAAGUGAGGCACGUGUGCCUUUUUGUAUGUACUGUAUGAAUAAGGAUCGGCUAACUCCGUGCCAGCAGCCGCGGUAAUACGGAGGAUCCGAGCGUUAUCCGGAUUUAUUGGGUUUAAAGGGAGCGUAGGUGGGCUGUUAAGUCAGUUGUGAAAGUUUGCGGAUCAACCGUAAAAUUGCAGUUGAUACUGGCAGUCUUGAGUGCAGGUGAGGUAGGCAGAAUUCGUGGUGUAGCGGUGAAAUGCUUAGAUAUCACGAAGAACUCCGAUUGCGAAGGCAGCUUACUAGACUGCAACUGACACUGAUGCUCGAAAGUGUGGGUAUCAAACAGGAUUAGAUACCCGGGUAGUC
rnacentral:rRNA from 1 species